rnacentral:rRNA from 1 species
AAUGAACGCUGGCGGCAUGCCUAACACAUGCAAGUCGAACGAAGGCUUCGGCCUUAGUGGCGCACGGGUGCGUAACGCGUGGGAAUCUGCCCUCAGGUUCGGAAUAACAGCGAGAAAUUGCUGCUAAUACCGGAUGAUAUCGCGAGAUCAAAGAUUUAUCGCCUGAGGAUGAGCCCGCGUAGGAUUAGCUAGUUGGUGUGGUAAAGGCGCACCAAGGCGACGAUCCUUAGCUGGUCUGAGAGGAUGAUCAGCCACACUGGGACUGAGACACGGCCCAGACUCCUACGGGAGGCAGCGGUGGGGAAUAUUGGACAAUGGGCGAAAGCCUGACUCAGCAAUGCCGCGUGAGUGAUGAAGGCCUUAGGGUUGUAAAGCUCUUUUACCCGGGAUGAUAAUGACAGUACCGGGAGAAUAAGCUCCGGCUAACUCCGUGCCAGCCGCCGCAGUAA